AUUCCCUUCCCUUUCCACCUACCCCCCCUCAAAACAUGAGCCCAUUACCACUUUGCUUCUAUCGUGUACAUGUAUGGAAUGUAGCUUGUAAGCUUUUAUUUUUUAUUUUUUACUAUUACUUUUACUUUUAAUCCAUCAUGGCUUAAGUACUUUUACCCUAUAUAAGACAAAACCCUCCAACCAAUGCAUUUUAGGGGAAUCCCAAUAAGAGAAUUACUGAUCUUGUCGCGCUUAUGUUGAAUGUGCUUUUGUGCUUUUACUUUUUUGUGCUUAAAUCUAAAUAUAUAGCUGAAGCUUAGUGGCUGUCUCUGUCACUCACUCUCAGUCACAGUCUCUCUCUGGCUCUCCCUGUGUGUUGCCUCCGCUGCUCCUGCCUUUAUUAUCUAAUUGCCCUAAGCAUUGUGCGCUUUUAAGCCUUUACGUGAGGGAGCUUUUAAAAGCUUUAUCCAAGCUCGUGCGCUUGUAUGUGAAUGACGAUCUUGUGCUUGUCAAGUUGUAGAAUGAGUAGAGAGAAUUCCAGUGAUAAAAUAAUACAAAAGAACGAAUCGAUAACGAAUCAAACGUUAAAUAAUUGAAACGAAUUGAUUAAGUGAAAAGAAAAGUGAACAAAAGUAUCAUAAAUAAUACAAUUUCUAUCACAUUUUGAGUGAUUCUAGGCGACGCUGCAAUUAGACAUGGAUAACUUGAAGGUAAACCUUAUAAAGUUUCACAUUAAGAUAUAUUGUAUUAAGCCAGUGUCAUUAUUAUGCUUUUUAUUAAUACUUCAAAAAACCACAAAGAAAAAAUAAUACAGUCUGUAAAUUUAUAUUUUUAAGCUUUCUAUACCACUUCCUUCCAUUAAGUACUUAACUUCUUUACCUGCCAUUUACAUUUUUCCAUUUGGCCAUUCAACUUUUUUGCUGUAUCCAACAGAGCUCUGUCUAUUGAUCAGUUUCAUUCUAUUCGUAAAAAAGCAGUGCACAAUUGGCAGUGUCCUUUUUCCAAUGUGCUUUUUAUCAUGCAAUAUUGAAUUUUCCCCUCUGAAAGCGAC